GUUCACUUCAGCAGCACAUAUACUAAAAUUGGAAUGAUACAGAGAAGAUCAGCAUGGUCCCUGCACAAGGAUGAUACUCAAAUAUUACAUAUUAUAAUUUA
ensembl:snRNA U6 U6 spliceosomal RNA